ACAAAAAAUGUCUUUCCAGAAAUGCCCUCAAUUGAAUACAACAUUAGGCGGGGAAUUGAAGCAUAUUUUCGAAUAUUUCGGUAAUUUCGAGGCAUUGAGUCUCCGAACUCGAACGCCAUAACCGUCUAUGCUACCCGCGUACUCUUCGUUCUUCCUGUCACGCCUCAGCUCCGUUUUCUCCUCCCUCCUUCUCUUUCUUCAUCGAUCGAUUCGGUAUAGUGCCGAAGAGAAGCGCGCAGAGAAGUAAAUUUUUGGGUUGUUCUCUGUUGCCAAUGACAGUUGCACAGGCUGAGGUUUUGCUCUUGCAGAUAGCGGCGAUUUGUAUGUCUGUGUCUUAAUUGUUCGUAUGGACUAGGGACAGAAGCUUCAUCACUCAUUGAAGUCUCCGCGGGUGUCGUCAGGAAAGCGAUGCCAGUGCGGUAGCGUAUGGUCACAAUUACUCCGUGAUGAGGACGGUGGCAGUGAUGACGACGGAGAUUUAUACUGCGAGAGCAACAGGCAUUUGAUGGACUUGUUUGAUGGCUAUCACUUGGAAGCAAGGACAACUCUCCGCAACAUAAUACGAGACAUAUCAAGCCCCUACCACUGCCUUCUGUAAGCACCGAGAGGGAAGAGGUGUAAGUGGGGAAGGGAAUUGACCAGAUGCAGGCAGCGGUUCCGGUUUUUGAUCACGUCCUUUAUGCUUUCUAUCAGGCCAUCUUUUUUUUUAGCUGACGUUAUCUCUCCC